rnacentral:rRNA from 1 species
UACAGGGGGGGCAAGCGUUGUUCGGAAUUACUGGGCGUAAAGCGUGCGCAGGCGGUUUUGCAAGCCGGAUGUGAAAUCCCCGGGCUCAACCUGGGAAUGGCAUUCGGGACUGCAAGGCUGGAGUGCGGCAGAGGAGACUGGAAUUCCUGGUGUAGCAGUGAAAUGCGUAGAUAUCAGGAGGAAUACCGAUGGCGAAGGCAGGUCUCUGGGCUGACACUGACGCUCAUGCACGAAAGCGUGGGGAGCAAACAGG